UGAGGGAAUAGCAGGGAUAUUCAGAACCUUGGCCAUCACCGAAAUAUCUAAAGUUUAGGCUGAAAAAUAUCUGCUUCAGUAAAACCUUAUCUGCCUACCCUCUGCCGUGGUGCACUCUACCAUAUCCCUGCCUUGCUGUGCUCAAGGGUCCGGCGUGGAUCUUCAGGAUUGAGCCACGCAUCCAUACCCAUGCGUUCACUGGCACCUCCAGAGCCCCCCUCGCUGUAAUCCCAUGAACCUAGACAUCGCUUGAUCUUUUCCCUGCCCAUUUAAGAGUAACCAAAGGGGGGGAGAAAGGGGAGUAAAGGAGAGAUCCCUGCCUCUGUCGUAAGCCACUUUGUGUGACUUCAAAACAGUAUUGUUGCCUUCGCUUCUCCAGACUAUACCCUGGAAACGCCCAAGCCUCUAGCCAAGUGGCUUCACGUGUCUGGUGACCACGUCGCCGACGCCUCAACCUCACGUGGCCAGAACGUAGUCGCGCCACCGCAAAUCGUCGUCGUGUUUAGUUUCAUCGUCGGCCGGCCAACGUACGACUUCCCCGAGCAGUUUCAUGCACCCACCAAGAACUUGGACUGUCAGGAAUUUGUGAGUUACAAAGCACUGAACAGAGGGAGAGGAAUGGAGCACUAGAAGAUGAAUUCAGAGAAACGAAAACAGAAUUCCUAGAAGAAGAAGAUGAUGAAAUUCAAGAAGUGGUUUCUGAAGAGGAGUCUGCUUCAGUGCUUGCUCAUCAAGUGAUGGGAGCCAUCUAACUCGGUAUUUAAUAGAGGGAUCUGAAACCUCUUUAUUGCAAUAAG